rnacentral:rRNA from 1 species
AUUGAACGCUGGCGGCAUGCCUUACACAUGCAAGUCGAACGGUAACAGGUCUUCGGAUGCUGACGAGUGGCGAACGGGUGAGUAAUACAUCGGAACGUGCCUAGUAGUGGGGGAUAACUACUCGAAAGAGUGGCUAAUACCGCAUGAGAUCUACGGAUGAAAGCAGGGGAUCGCAAGACCUUGUGCUACUAGAGCGGCCGAUGGCAGAUUAGGUAGUUGGUGGGAUAAAAGCUUACCAAGCCGACGAUCUGUAGCUGGUCUGAGAGGACGAUCAGCCACACUGGGACGGAGACACGGCCCAGACUCCUACGGGAGGCAGCAGUGGGGAAUUUUGGACAAUGGGCGCAAGCCUGAUCCAGCAAUGCCGCGUGCAGGAUGAAGGCCUUCGGGUUGUAAACUGCUUUUGUACGGAACGAAAAGCCCUGGGUUAAUACCCUGGGGUCAUGACGGUACCGUAGGAAUAAGCACCGGCUAACUACGUGCCAGCCGCCGCGGUAAAAC